AAUAUGCCACUCUCAGUGCGCAUCGCGCGCCUGUGUGCAGAACUUGGCAAGGCGCAUUGCUAUCCUCAACCCAACGCUUCCUCUCUUGCCCUCUGUGGUCGCGAAGCAAGACCGUUCCGUAGGUGAACCUGCGGAAGGAUCAUUA
rnacentral:rRNA from 1 species